GAACUGCGAUAAGUGUGGUGAAUCGCAGAACACCGCGAACCAUUAAACCGUUGAACGCACAUUGCGGCCUCCAGUCCGCUGGGGGUCACGCGUCGCUGAGUGUCGGUUCAAACCUAAUGGGAGACCAACCGAAAGGUCAUUCUCUCCAAUGUGUUGGUGCGGCUUACCACCGCUCUAAUGAAGUGAAGGCAGGCGCAAUGUCGGCGUCGAUCAAGGUACCGUACUUGUGGCAUCAGAGGCUGUAUGGGAUUGGGUAUCAUUGUCUCUAGUUGUCCGAACGGCUCUGCGAUCUGUCGAUGUCUGCUACCUUCCUCACAGAAGAGUGUGCACUUGUUGUGCACUCCUAUGUGUGACCAGAGAGGGGUUCUCUGAGAGGAGAGCUUCUCCACCCACUGACCUC
rnacentral:misc_RNA from 1 species